AACGAACGCUGGCGGCGUGCUUAAGACAUGCAAGUCGAACGGUAAGGCCCCUUCGGGGGUACACGAGUGGCGCACGGGUGAGUAACGCGUGGGUAACCUACCUUUGGGUCUGGGACAACUCUGGGAAACUGGAGCUAAUACCGGAUAAGACCACGAGGUCCUCGGGCCUCGCGGAAAAAGAUGGCCUCUUCUUGAAAGCUAUCGCCCGUCGAUGGGCCCGCGUCCCAUUAGUUUGUUGGUGAGGUAACGGCUCACCAAGGCGACGAUGGGUAGCUGGUCUGAGAGGAUGAUCAGCCACACUGGAACUGAGACACGGUCCAGACUCCUACGGGAGGCAGCAGUCGGGAAUCUUGGGCAAUGGGCGAAAGCCUGACCCAGCAACGCCGCGUGAGGGAUGAAGGUCUUCGGAUCGUAAACCUCUGUCAGGAGGGAAGAACGGUCUGUGGGCGAAUAGCCCAGGGGCUUGACGGUACCUCCAAAGGAAGCGCCGGCUAACUCCGUG
rnacentral:rRNA from 1 species